GGACUACAGGGGUUUCUAAUCCUGUUUGCUCCCCACGCUUUCGCACCUCAGCGUCAAUACCAGUCCAGUGAGCCGCCUUCGCCACUGGUGUUCUUCCGAAUAUCUACGAAUUUCACCUCUACACUCGGAAUUCCACUCACCUCUCCUGGAUUCAAGCGAUGCAGUCUUAAAGGCAAUUCUGGAGUUGAGCUCCAGGCUUUCACCUCUAACUUACAAAGCCGCCUACGUGCGCUUUACGCCCAGUAAUUCCGAAUAACGCUAGCUCCCUCCGUAUUACCGCGGCUGCUGGCAC
rnacentral:misc_RNA from 1 species